rnacentral:rRNA from 1 species
UACGUAGGGGGGCAAGCGUUGUCCGGAUUUAUUGGGCGUAAAGAGCGUGUAGGCGGCUUUACAGGUCCGUUGUGAAAACUCGAGGCUUAACCUCGAGACGUCGAUGGAAACCGUAUGGCUAGAGUCCGGAAGAGGAGACUGGAAUUCCUGGUGUAGCGGUGAAAUGCGCAGAUAUCAGGAGGAACACCGGUGGCGAAGGCGGUUCUCUGGGCCUUACCUGACACUGAGGAGCGAAAGCGUGGGGAGCGAACAGG